GAAAAGCUCCAGAAAUCUAUGGAAAGACUGAGUGAACUCCACACAGAAUGUAUGAAUCAAAAAGCAUUCAUGGCAACACAAAUAACUGAGUGGCAGGACAGGAUAGAUAUUCGAAAACAAAAAAUCAAGUUGGACUUUAAGAAUCUCCACACUUUUCUACAUGAGGAGGAGUGGUUGUAUCUCUGGAGGCUAGAGAAGGAAGAAGAGCAGAUGAUGAGCAGGCUGAAGGAGAGUGAGGCCAACCUGCAGCAGAAAAUUGAUGAACUCAAGAGCCACAUUCUGGAGCUGGAGGCAAAAUGUCAGAGCUCACCCCAGAAACUGCUGCAGGGUGUGAAAAGCACCUUGAGCAGGAUUUGUGCUGUGAAGCUGGAAGCACUAGAGGUCUUUCCCUUGAAGAUUCAGACUGCGUGUGAUGUUGCUGAGCUUUACUUGGAUGUGAAGGCGAUGUUAAGGCACUGUCGAGGUAUGAGAGCUCAGGACUCCCUCAGUGCUGUGAUAAGAGAGAUCUUCAGCACUCACCACUGUCCUCACCAUCCUGGGCAGCCUGGAGCACAGGUCGUGUGGGCAUUUGCAGCAGAACUGGCUUACUCUCCCUGUCCUGUGUGCUCAGAGGCUGAAUAUAUACUGUAUCCUGUUCUCCUAUAUGAACUUCCAGUUCCUGCUGUCUGCUUUGGUGACCCUGUCACCAGGCAACUCCUGUCACUCAGAUUCCACAUCUGAGAAAUGAGAUAGUUUCCAUUUCAUGGAGUUGUGCUGAAAAUGCACUGCAUUCACUUGUGUGAGCUUCUAGCACCUAUCUGGCAAGUGGUGAGCCCCAGGGCAGGGUAUUAGAUGUGCCUCUAAUGGUUCUUAUGAGUAUUUCAAAUUCUGAGAGACGUUCAAGAAAGGUAGGUGAGUAUGGUGGACUAUAUUUAAUAUUAGAGACCUGACUCAGGUAACAGAGGUGAAUAUUAGAAAUACAACAGAUACUAUGUGAUUAAUCCAAAACCCACAUUUACUAUUCCUUUUUCUGCUACUGCUGCCUAUAUUUCUAGAAAUUCUUAUACAUAAUUACUAAAUUUUAAAAAUGCUGAUAAUGGAAACUGUCACCAUGAUUAAGUUGGCUAGAAAAUGUGACUUAACCUAAAAUGAUUUUGUGCCUGUAUGAGUUAUCUGUUGUCAUUUACAAAUAUCCAAAAUUAUCUAAAGCAAUAUAGAUAUAUUAUCUCACAGUCUUUGUGAGUCAAGAAACUGAGCACAGCUCAGUGCCGGGGGGGCGGGGGAGGGGGCUCUGCUUAGGGUCUCAGGAGGCUGCAGUGAAAGUGUGCCUAGGCUAUAUUCUCAUCCAGAUACUCACCUGGGGAAGGUCCCCUCUCACACUCACUUAGGUUGCUGACAGGAUUCAUUCCCCUUGGGUUACAGUAUGUGAGGCCCUGGAUUCUUGCUGGCUGUGGUUGCAGGCUGCCCUCAGCUUCAGGGUUCUCCCAUCAGCUCUUUGCACAGUGGGCAUACACAUGACCAAGUAUUUUCUUCAGCAUGAGCCCAGGAGAGGGAGUCUCCAUAACAAAUCUUCUGGCAAGAUGGUGUGUAAAUAACGAAUUGUAAUCACAGGAGUUACAUUCCAUCAUCUUCUCCAUAUUCUGCUGAUCAGAAGAAAUGCUCUGGCCUGCCUAUCUUGAAGGGAAAGAAUUUUACAAGGAUUUGAACUGUAUCCAAGGAUUGUCCCCUUUGGUCUGUCUACCCCAGGGGACUCAUCUGAACUGCACUGAAAUGAGGCUAUUUAAAGUCCUACUUUAUACCAUGUACUUUAAAUAUACAUUUUGCUGCAGAAAUAUUGUUGCUUUUGGUCCCAGGAUUCUCCCUUAGGCCUUGCAGGGGCAACAUGGAAUUUAGAGAGUAGCACUUUGAGAGAAAGUGCUGAUGUUUGGGAUCCAAGUUACAAUGUGCUUAAACCCUAGGGAAAGCAAAAUUGUACCUCUUCAUCCUACUCCAGCAAUAACAGGAUAACCCCUGAUCCACAUACUCCUGAUUCUGUGUUUACAAUUUGUAAUGUCUUCCUAUAUGAUAGAUUUGAAGUGGCACCGAAUUGUGUACUUAUUUUCAGUUUUUCCAGUUUCACUAGUGAGUUUGGGGGUGUCUUUUUUGUUUUUGUGGGUAUUUUUCAUACUUUUUACAUGUCUAUUAACUCUUUAGCCUUCUGUGAUUUAACCCAGAUUACUAUAGUUUAAUAAUUUUAUUGCUUCUUUCCUUACUGAUUUCUGGGAGAUUAUCAUAGCCAAUAUCUUCUCUUGGCAUGUGAGUGACAUUUUUCUCUGUCUUUCUUUCAUUUUUUUUGAUGCUUUCAAAUUUAGUAUAUACAUAUUUUCUUUUGAAGUCAGUGACUUUUAUUUUCCAAGAGCCCAGUCAUUAGUGAGUAUUGGCUUUUAUUCCUGAGUUGGAUGUAUUCUCUGAUAGCAUCCUCUGGCUACUUUUCCAUAAUUUGAUAAUGUGGUGAUUUGAUGAGUCACUUUCUAAUGUUAAACUCCAAUUGUAUUUUCAGAAUAAACCAAAUUUAUAAAUACAUAUUAUGCAUACCCUGCAUAUAACAUACAAAUUUUAUAAUUCUGUUUGUAGACAAUAUACAAAUCAUUACUGUGCUAUAAUUAUGUGGCCAGAUAAGACCUAGUUACCUAGAGUAGUUACCAAAAUGUAAUUCACUGGGCAGGAAGAAUCUUGACAUGAUAAAAGUAGAUAAGAAAAAUUUAGCUACCAACUAUAGUCUGAGUGCAUUAUGAUCAUGUAUUUGUGUUGAUGGGAAACACUGUUGUUAAGUAGUUGGAGAGUGUCUACUCACAAAUCAGACCCAUUUAUGUAGAAAGUUACUGUAUAUAGAUUCCUGUUCUUUACUGUCUUUUUCUUUACUAGCUCUGUUGUGAUGCUUGACUCUGACCAGUUGGUAAUGAAACUAUCUCACCCAUUUUUUAUUUUAUAGACAGAAAGAAAACUGUAUCUCUGAUGGCAUGUAAUAUACAGAACAAAACACACACACACCCAUAUAUUAAUAUAUAUAUAGUGGAAAUUACAUAGUUUGAUAUAAUGUAGCAUACACUAUGUAUUAUAAAUAUCAUAAACUCAUAAAAAUUGGCUUUUAAUCUUUGUAUAUAUAACAGGUAAUAUAUAUUUGUUGUAUUAGAAACAUAUAUCAAACAAAUAAAUAAUGUUAUAGAUGUUAAUAUCCAUAAAACUUCAUUUGUUGUUAUAGUAUUUUGC
rnacentral:lncRNA from 1 species